rnacentral:tRNA from 1 species
GGGCACGUGGCCUAGUCAGGAAUGGCGGCGGCCUCCUAAGCCGCAGGUCGAGGGUUCAAAUCCCUCCGUGCCCG